CUGUUUGCUAUGCUUUGUUCUUUUGUAUUGUUUCCUGCCUUUUGUGCAAUAGUUGGCAUUUUUCUGGGUUUUUUUUUUCUUUUAAUCUGGAAAUUAAUUCCCGUCGAGUGUCAUUUCAGCUAUAGAUAUGCAGAUUAUAGGACCAAGUUCAUUUUUUACUCAUAAUGUCUGUUUAGUGGCUACUUAAUGAUUUUUUUAUAUUUCAUUUUAUUUUUCAAGGACGAUUCUUGUUGUUUUUUUUUUAAUUCUUGUUAUUUAAAUCUCAGAUCAUUUCCACUUUGGAAAUGUUAUUUUGAAAUAAUUUUAGACUGAAGGAAAUGUUGUAAAUAAGAGUUUUCAUAUACUCUCCAUUCAGAUUUUCUGAAAGUUAACAUUUAUCUCACUUAUAAUAAUUCAUUACAGCUUUUAUAUAUUUUAUGUUAUAUAAACUUAAUCCUAUGAUAUUUACAACGUUUAUAAGUUAUAUCUGUGCCUUCAGUUUGUUGCUGGUAGUUUCCAAUUUAAUGCUUUUUGCCUUGAAUUCCAUGCCUACCUGGAUUUGGUGCCUUUUGCCAAUCUUUCAUUCCAUAACUUCUUCCUUUGCAAGUUUUGCAUUUCAAUUCAUCUUCUGAUUGGCUAGGUUAAUUGAGUUUUUAUUGAGGACUCACCAGGAGAAUUAUGCAGACAUGCAUCAUUUUUCCUCUGCUCUUUUUUUGUUUACUUUGCCAAAUUGCAUUGUUGACUCACUGGUUCAUGUUUCAGCUCUUCAUUUCCCAGAAGAACUGUGGUCUCAAUGGAAAAACCACAGUCUGUCUUCUUUCGGUUCUCAUAUUGAAUCCAGGACAUAGGUGAUACCCAGUGACUUUGGAGUAUUCCGAAUUUGAAUACAUGACAAGGCUUGUCAUUUAUCACAACCAUUCCCCUCAUGCAUGUAUUUUACACAUCUACUCUAAGGCCAUCAGAAAUUGGGGGGGUGAAAUUGAGUCUGUUGAGUGAAAGAUGUGAACAAAAGUAUGUUUGUGUCUUAGGCAUCAGUGACAUUCAAGGAUGUGGCCAUGGACUUUACCCCAGAGGAGUGGGGGAAGCUGGAUCCUGCCCAAAGGGAGGUGAUGCUGGAGAACUAUAGGAACCUGGUGUCGCUUUGGCUUCCAGUUUCCAAAUCUGAGAACUACAGUUUGGAGAGCGGAAAAGAACCACUGAUGCUUGAGAGAAAAGCCCCCAAAAGCAGCUAUUCAGACCUGGAGGCUAAACCCGAGGGCAAAGAUUCAACUUCAGUGCAAGAUAUUUCCAAAGAAGAAUCAUGCCAAGCCGCAGUAAUAGACAGACUGACAGGAAACGGUGUCUAUGACUCCAGCUUGGAAACAACUCUUGAAUGUGAAAAUUGGUUAGAGAAUCAGCAAGGAAAUCAGGAGAGACCCUUGAGAGAAAUGUUCACCCAUGUGAAUUCACUCCCCGAAGAAGGAGCUCAUGAGCAUGACGUAUAUUGGAAAAACUUUGGUCAGAAGUCUGUUCUUCUCACUCAAGACAGAGUUCCCAAAGGAUCCUAUGCCUUCCAUACACUUGGAAAAAGGUUGAAACCGAAAUCAAACUUAAUGAAAAAGCAAAGAACCUGUAAAGAGAAAAAACCUCAUAAAUGUAACGAUUGCGGGGAGCUCUUCACUUACCAUUCAGUGCUUAUUCGACACCAGAGAGUCCAUACUGGAGAGAAACCCUAUAGCUGUAAUGAAUGUGGGAAAUCUUUUAGCCACAGAGCUAAUUUAACUAAACAUCAGAGAACUCAUACCAGAAUUCUCUUUGAAUGCAGUGAAUGCAAGAAGGCCUUCACAGAAAGCUCAUCCCUCGCGAUACAUCAGAGAAUUCACAUUGGGGAGAGACCGUAUGAAUGCAAUGAAUGCGGAAAAGGUUUUAAUCGAAGUACACAUCUGGUACAGCAUCAGUUGAUUCAUACUGGAGUGAAGCCGUAUGAAUGUAAUGAAUGUGAUAAAGCUUUCAUUCAUUCCUCAGCUCUUAUUAAACAUCAAAGAACUCAUACUGGAGAGAAACCCUACAAAUGUCAGGAAUGUGGGAAAGCCUUUAGCCACUGCUCAUCCCUUACUAAACAUCAGAGAGUUCAUACUGGAGAAAAGCCAUAUGAAUGUAGCGAAUGUGGAAAAACCUUUAGUCAGAGCACACAUCUUGUUCAGCAUCAGAGAAUCCAUACUGGAGAGAAACCCUAUGAGUGUAACGAAUGUGGGAAGACCUUCAGCCGGAGCUCAAAUUUUGCUAAACAUCAAAGAAUUCAUAUUGGAAAGAAACCGUACAAAUGUAAUGAAUGUGGGAAAGCCUUCAUUCAUUCAUCAGCUCUUAUUCAACACCAGAGAACUCAUACUGGAGAGAAGCCUUACAGAUGUGACGAAUGUGGGAAAAGCUUUAAGUGCAGUUCAUCCCUCAUCAGACAUCAAAGAAUUCAUACUGAAGAGCAACUCUGAAAAAUUACUGAAUGUGAAGAAAUGGCUAGAAAACUAAACCCAAUGGAUUCAUCUCUAUCAAGUUCCACCUGUAAUACCUGUAAAUAUGGAUGAAUUCCUCUCCUUUUGCGGUUCCCCAGAUCUGUUACAGCUCCUGUUCUACCGGAGAGUGACCUUCUUUUCGACUUGUAGGGCUGGGAUCUUGAAAGCCAUAGCAUAGGUCGUUCAUUCCUCCUCAAUUAACUCUUUGUCCUCCACUGAAUCGUCGGUUAACAGUCUGAUCUCAUGAAGUAAUCUGCUUCCAGACCAAAAAAAACAAAAACAAAACC